UACGUAGGGUGCAAGCGUUGUCCGGAAUUAUUGGGCGUAAAGAGCUCGUAGGCGGUCUGUCGCGUCGGCUGUGAAAACCCGGGGGCUCACCACCGGGCCUGCAUUCGAUACGGGCAGACUAGAGUUCGGUAGGGGAGUCUGGAAUUCCUGGUGUAGCGGUGAAAUGCGCAGAUAUCAGGAGGAACACCGGUGGCGAAGGCGGGACUCUGGGCCGAUACUGACGCUGAGGAGCGAAAGCGUGGGGGAGCAAACAGG
rnacentral:rRNA from 1 species